CCCCUGUGCCCGGCCGAGCCUGAUUGGAGGCGGGGCCGCUGCGCCGGAGGGGCUCCCGCAGCUGCGGGCCGGGCGGAGCGGCCUAUCAGAGAGCCGGCAGGCCGCAGGGAGGCGGUCUUCAGUUCGCCUCCCGGCCGCGCUAGUUUCACUGACCUUUACGGGAUUUAUGACCUAGAGGAGCUGUGUAUGUCCAGAGUUAAGUCCAAGUGGUUUGCAGCACAGCUUUGCAGAUCCAGCCUGACAGUGAACCCCUCAGCUCUGCACAGUCACAGACAAUUCUCAGCCAAGCCUCUUCAGUGUGACAAUUCACUGCAUCUUCGAAUAAAAGAAAAAAAUUGUCAUCGUUCAAUACUGUCUUCACAUCCUGGAACCUCGUUCUUGCAAAAUCUGAAACAGACCAAUAAAAAUUCUAUAAAUGAAAAUUAGCUCAAUGUCAUUCCUAAAGCAUGGAGAUCAAAGAGCAACAUAAUGACUACUUUAAAUUACUGUUUAUUUUGUCCCCGCCAGAGAGUAAAGGAUCCAAGUCUUAGGACUGACUGUUCAAGCAAUUAUAUUUUAAUGUUGCUGCUCUAAACUGAAUCACAACCAGCAAUAAUGAGGUAAACUGUCAGGCUGCAUAGUACUCUAGACUGUGUCAGCAGGCUGUAGAACCAAUC